rnacentral:rRNA from 1 species
GACGAACGCUGGCGGCGUGCUUAACACAUGCAAGUCGAACGGAAAGGCCCUGCUUUUGUGGGGUGCUCGAGUGGCGAACGGGUGAGUAACACGUGAGUAACCUGCCCUUGACUUUGGGAUAACUUCAGGAAACUGGGGCUAAUACCGGAUAGGAGCUCCUGCUGCAUGGUGGGGGUUGGAAAGUUUCGGCGGUUGGGGAUGGACUCGCGGCUUAUCAGCUUGUUGGUGGGGUAGUGGCUUACCAAGGCUUUGACGGGUAGCCGGCCUGAGAGGGUGACCGGCCACAUUGGGACUGAGAUACGGCCCAGACUCCUACGGGAGGCAGCAGUGGGGAAUAUUGCACAAUGGGCGGAAGCCUGAUGUAGCAACGCCGCGUGCGGGAUGACGGCCUUCGGGUGGUAAACCGCUUUCGCCUGUGACGAAGCGUGAGUGACGGUAAUGGGUAAAGAAGCACCGGCUAACUACGU